CUGGAAGAGGUGUGCCGCUGUGGGCUUUGAGGCUUCCUGUGCUCAAACACUGUGGAGUUCCAGUCUCCUGCUGGCUGCCUUCCAAUCAAGAUGUAGAACUUGUGGCUCCUCCAGCACCAAGCUUCCUGACAUGAUGAUAAUGGACUGAACUUCUGAAACUGAGGAGAAACAAAAUGCAACCCUGUAGAUGUCAACUAUGCCCCUUUACUACCUGUGACAUCACUGUUGGUAUCUGAACUUUGGAAUCAAAGUGACUGGGAGCUGGGCGGGGUCCCAAGAAGGGAGCCCUUGGUGCAGUCACCAUUGAACCUUGUCACCAUUGCCAUCUCCUACAGAUUGCCUAGCAUUUGACUGGAAGAUAUGGAUUUCUAACCAAGCACGGUUAACAUGACCUACACAAGACAUGAAGGCACAGGCGCUGUUCUAUCUCUUCUUAGUCGCCCUGUUUCCUUAUGGAUCCUACGUGUUAGACCUCUUCUUCCCAGUCUUCUCCAGUCACCUCAUUAGUGAUAAUGAGAAACUCAUUCUUGGAAGAUAUGAUGAAGAUGUAAUUCUCCCUUGUCUGUUUAAGAAUGGGCCUCAAAUUGUAAUUCACUGGAAAAAUAAAGAUAAAUAUGUUCAUACAUACUACAACGACAUGGAUCAUUUGGAAACACAGGAUCUAAGAUAUGCAAACAGGACAUCCCUCUUUCAUAGUGAAAUUCACAAUGGGAAUGCCUCUCUAAAUGUCAAAAGAUUGAGCCUUCUGGAUGAAGGAACUUAUAGUUGCUAUGUGUCAACAAUGAAUAGUCAAGCCACAAAAAAUGAGGUGAAGCUGAAAGUGGGAGCUUUCCAAACACCUGUAAUGAGGUAUGAGAAGAGGAACGUAGGGAGCUUUCUGGAAUGCAGUAUCCUGAGACUUUAUCCUCAAUCCAAUGUCACAUGGAAAAUGGACAAUGCAUCUGUCUCUGAAAGCAGCUCUGAAAAAACUGGGGAUCCGGGUCCAUUUUAUAUUAAAAGUACAUUGAACGUUACAGGAUCAAAUUCAUCCUUUGAGUGUGCUAUUAAAAAUUCACUUCUCAGUCAAACAUGGAGAGGAAGGUGGACAUUGGCAGGUAUUCAUAGGAUGAAUCAAAGAGAAUCCAUCUCACUCUGGUGUGCAGUCAGCAGCAAUUUUUCUUUAUCAGAUCAAGGCUACCGUGUUACUUGGUCCAAAGUAGAGAAUGGGAAAUACUCUGUGUUGGCAACUGAGCUCUCCACGAAACGCAACUAUUACCAACAUUCAUGGGAUAAAGAGCGGACAGAUAACAGUGCCUUCUUCGUGACUUUGAAAGAUCUUCGUGCUUCAGACAGUGGGGAAUACUUGUGUAAUAUUUCUUCAGCUGAGUAUGCUUUACUCACCGUCCACAGGCUGCAUGUAGACUCUACGAAGAGAACUCCAUGGCCAAUAUUUGCUGGAGUUUGGUUCGCUUUACCGUUUGUUUGCUUUAUUUGCUAUAAACUGAGAAGACACUGUGCUGGCUGCAAAGAUGCUGUGACCACCAGUCCUUCGACUUCUGUAUUGAGAUGUAUGUGCAUUAAUGGUCAGAAUUUGACCCAGAAGAAAUCUGUACAAACUAAGGAAUACCCGCAUUCCAGGAAAUGUGAAUCCAGGAAGGUGUUCAAGUGUGGAGCAGGCUCCAGAAGCAGGACCGGAAAAAACAGAUACUCUGCUGAUGAAGACCGACCCAUCCAUCCAGGAUCACCGGCCAGAUGAAGGAGUAGAUUGUGGUUCUGAUGAUGUAAUCGAGCACAGUUCAGAAGUGUUUCCUGUCUCUGUUGAUCAGAGUGUUCCCAAAGGUGGUCUCAACUCCACUGACAGUGACUAAGACAUCAUUUUCUUUCUCAAAUCAUGCUCAAUGCAAAGAUGAGCAAAAUAAAAAAGGAAGGAAUGAAAGAAUAAAAGAACAAAGGAAGGAAGAAAGAGACAAAUGUGGAACUGAAGCCUGUAAUUACCAGCACUUGUGAAGUAGACACAGGAGGCUCAGAAGCUUCAGGCUGGGCUGAGUUGUUUAGCAAGAUGCUGUCUCAGAGAACAAUAGAAAACCAUCUCUACCACCACCAACAAAGGAAAUUAUUAUUAAUAUUAUUUUUUACUAACUUAGCCAGCAUUAUAUAAGACUUGGGGGUGGGGAGAAGAAAGAGGAAUUGUAGGAUAAUAUAGUAGAAAAAAUACAAUUAGGUUUUUAUCAGUGAAUGAGACCUUCUUAUUUAAACAGACAGUUGCUCUUCUUGUCUCUGCUGUUAUUUGCAAAGACACCCAGUGGCUCUGUAUACCUUGAUGCUUACCAAAGUCUGCUCAUGGUGUUUGUCCUUCUGAUAAAUGUGGGGUUGUGCUAAUAUGGAAAGGAAGAGGCUCAUAUAAAAAUGGAGGCAAGUAGGUCAUGGUUUUCACCCAGAUCCAGACUAUUGGCCAUCCAUGCUUUCCAGAUAUUUCUAGGUCCCUGGGAGACUAAUCCUUCACACACAAUGUAUAGUUUGGUUCAUUUUGCUGCAUCAGUUUUUGUGGCUUUGUAUGUUCACUAAUCAGAAUAUAAGUAAGGGGCCAAGCUGGGUUAGUCUUGUUUUUAAAACCUUUAAAAUUCAGGAACUUCUACAAGGCAGACAAAAGUUGACUGACAUGACUUAGGCCAUGUCGUUAUUCAUUUAAUAAUUGUCUCGUGGAUGCACGAUCACAGAUAUAAGAGAUGCCUUGAACCUCGUCCUCCUACCUUUCUCUCAAAAGCCCAUUGAUAUCAUUGUUUAGGAUAAAAAUGGUUAUUUCAACUUUAACAAUGGACACUGAUUCAGUUUCUUGCUUCUCGUCUCCUUCAGUAGAGUCAGCCAGCAAGUGGAAUCCUAUACUUGACUUACAAACAGAAAUCCUCUACUUGACUUAUUGACUUAUUUGGUUGACAUCAUCUCACCUUUCCUCACCACCAUUCCAGGCAAUGGCUUGUAAGACUUGUCAGCCUCUUGUGCAGGAAGCCAUUUGUUAACAGUGCAUGGGUUGGAACUGUCCCUGAAGCUCAUGAAUUAGGAACACUGUGUAAGAGCAAUGGAGCAUACGCCCCUAAUGAGAAAUGACUGUGAUGGGGACUUUACUGACACGGUGGAAGUUGGCUAGAUACAUGCAAGAGCGGUUUGUUCUAAAAGUAUAAUACUCUCUUUCUCUUGACCUCUCUUGACCCUCAGAAUUUUGCCAUGGGAUGUUGUGACCAAAAGGCUCCCAUCAGAUGACAAUACCUUUAAUAGUGGACUUCCUAGCUUGUAGAAUUACAGCAAUUAUAUGUCUUUAUGAAUUACUCACAGUGACACCAAAAAAGGACCUCCAGAACAACACUGACUCUUCAAAAUCCUCUCACAGGAAGGCAUCUUUCUGAAAGUGCUGCAAACACUACGUGUGAGAAAAAUAAGGAUGGUAUAAAUAGCUCUCCAGUUCUUAUUGCAACUUGCUGGCUCACAUUUUGUUCUCUGCAAUCUCUGGACUGAGCCAAACAGAAGGCAUGGGAGCCCAAGGACAUAGAGCCUGUGUCUAGCAAAGGGCUAGAGGGAACUCCAGGAUUCCCCAGGUCACGACUUCAGGCUGGAAGGAGCUCACUGCUGCAGGCAAUGUCCAGCCACACCUCAGAGAAUGGCUUCCUGGAACAGUUGAUAAGUCUGAUUCUCCACCCUUCAAGCUUCUCUCUGGACUUCUGCAUGGUGUUAGAGCUGAGAGUACAGGCUGCUUUAUAGGUUUCACGCCUGUAACAAACCAUGACCUCAAGCCACACACUGGUUACAUAGCCGCCACACAUUUGUGAACUGGAAAAUCCACUGAAAGAAUGAAACAGUCAAGGGAAGCUACUCAAGCAAAACUACUUCGGUUUCAAGGGAACUCUUUGCUUCUCCCAAGGGAGGUGUAACUGG